rnacentral:rRNA from 1 species
CUUAACACAUGCAAGUCGAGGGGCAGCAUUUUAGUUUGCUUGCAAACUGAAGAUGGCGACCGGCGCACGGGUGAGUAACACGUAUCCAACCUGCCGAUAACUCCGGGAUAGCCUUUCGAAAGAAAGAUUAAUACCGGAUAGCAUACGAAUAUCGCAUGAUAUUUUUAUUAAAGAAUUUCGGUUAUCGAUGGGGAUGCGUUCCAUUAGUUUGUUGGCGGGGUAACGGCCCACCAAGACUACGAUGGAUAGGGGUUCUGAGAGGAAGGUCCCCCACAUUGGAACUGAGACACGGUCCAAACUCCUACGGGAGGCAGCAGUGAGGAAUAUUGGUCAAUGGGCGCGAGCCUGAACCAGCCAAGUAGCGUGAAGGAUGAAGGCUCUAUGGGUCGUAAACUUCUUUUAUAUGGGAAUAAAGUUUUCCACGUGUGGAAUUUUGUAUGUACCAUAUGAAUAAGGAUCGGCUAACUCCGUGCCAGCAGCCGCGGUAAUACGGAGGAUCCGAGCGUUAUCCGGAUUUAUUGGGUUUAAAGGGAGCGUAGGUGGAUUGUUAAGUCAGUUGUGAAAGUUUGCGGCUCAACCGUAAAAUUGCAGUUGAAACUGGCAGUCUUGAGUACAGUAGAGGUGGGCGGAAUUCGUGGUGUAGCGGUGAAAUGCUUAGAUAUCACGAAGAACUCCGAUUGCGAAGGCAGCUCACUAGACUGUCACUGACACUGAUGCUCGAAAGUGUGGGUAUCAAACAGGAUUAGAUACCCUGGUAGUCCACACAGUAAACGAUGAAUACUCGCUGUUUGCGAUAUACAGUAAGCGGCCAAGCGAAAGCAUUAAGUAUUCCACCUGGGGAGUACGCCGGCAACGGUGAAACUCAAAGGAAUUGACGGGGGCCCGCACAAGCGGAGGAACAUGUGGUUUAAUUCGAUGAUACGCGAGGAACCUUACCCGGGCUUAAAUUGCAACAGAAUAUAUUGGAAACAGUAUAGCCGUAAGGCUGUUGUGAAGGUGCUGCAUGGUUGUCGUCAGCUCGUGCCGUGAGGUGUCGGCUUAAGUGCCAUAACGAGCGCAACCCUUAUCUUUAGUUACUAACAGGUCAUGCUGAGGACUCUAGAGAGACUGCCGUCGUAAGAUGUGAGGAAGGUGGGGAUGACGUCAAAUCAGCACGGCCCUUACGUCCGGGGCUACACACGUGUUACAAUGGGGGGUACAGAAGGCGGCUACCUGGUGACAGGAUGCUAAUCCCAAAAACCUCUCUCAGUUCGGAUCGAAGUCUGCAACCCGACUUCGUGAAGCUGGAUUCGCUAGUAAUCGCGCAUCAGCCAUGGCGCGGUGAAUACGUUCCCGGGCCUUGUACACACCGCCCGUCAAGCCAUGAAAGCCGGGGGUACCUGAAGUACGUAACCGCAAGGAGCGUCCUAGGGUAAAACUGGUAAUUGGGGCUAAGUC